rnacentral:rRNA from 1 species
GACGAACGCUGGCGGCGUGCUUAACUCAUGCAAGUCGAACGGUAAGGCCCUUCGGGGUACACGAGUGGCGAACGGGUGAGUAACACGUGGGUGAUCUGCCCUGCACUUCGGGAUAAGCCUGGGAAACUGGGUCUAAUACCGGAUAGGACCACUGCCUGCAUGGGUGGUGGUGGAAAGCUUUUGCGGUGUGGGAUGGGCCCGCGGCCUAUCAGCUUGUUGGUGGGGUGAUGGCCUACCAAGGCGACGACGGGGAGCCGGCCUGAGAGGGUGACCGGCCACACGGGGAAUGAGAUACGGCCCAGACUCCGACGGUAGGCAGCAGUGGGGAAGAUUGCACAAUGGGCGCAAGCCUGAUGCGGCGACGCCGCGUGAGGGAUGACGGCCUUCGGGUUGUAAACCUCUUUCAGCAUCGACGAAGCGAAAGUGACGGUAGGUGCAGAAGAAGGACCGGCCAACUACGUGCCAGCAGCCGCCGUAA